CAGCAGCCGCGGGAAUACGUAGGGUGCGAGCGUUAAUCGGAAUUACUGGGCGUAAAGCGUGCGCAGGCGGUUAUGUAAGACAGUUGUGAAAUCCCCGGGCUCAACCUGGGAACUGCAUCUGUGACCGCAUAGCUAGAGUACGGUAGAGGGGGAUGGAAUUCCGCGUGUAGCAGUGAAAUGCGUAGAUAUGCGGAGGAACACCGAUGGCGAAGGCAAUCCCCUGGACCUGUACUGACGCUCAUGCACGAAAGCGUGGGGAGCAAACAGGAUUAGAUACCCCUGUAGUCCCUGUCUCUUAUAC
rnacentral:rRNA from 1 species